AUAUUCUGAAUGUUCAUCUCAGAGCGUGAUGGGGCUUUUUCUGUCUUGUGCAGGUUGCUGACUUUGGUCUGGCCAAGAUCCAGCACGAAGACGACACAGCCAUGUGUCUACGCUGGUGAUGGGGACUUUUGGGGCAGCUCCUUGUCAUGGGCGGCGCUGUUGUCGGCAGGGCCGUUUCUUCUUCGAAUUACCAUGCACGCGCGUCUUAUUUGUUGCUAAUCAACUAGUGAUUUGGGUUAUUUUGGGUUGCUGUUAGUUUUGCUUCUGCAAUUUAAUGUUGUCAAUGCUCUUUCCCGUUUGGUGGAUCAACUAAUUGCUUACAAAUCCAGCAGGCAUGAAUGCUUACUUUUACAGAUUUGUUUGACUGACUUCUUCAAAUCUAGCUCGUGUCUAUUUGUUGGAUGUGGAUCAAGUCUCCCUAUGUCGAUGAGUUCUAGAUUCCAGUUCACCAUGUUUCGCUUAUGAAUGAAUGCGCUAGAAGUAGAACAUAAUCUGUUGCAUUGGUGGUUACUUUAUACAUUUUAUGAUUGGUCAAUCAGCUAGUUAGCUACAGUUUACCUUGAUCAGGGAAUGUCGAUGGUCAAAUAAUUUACGUCCAUUCUCCAGAUCUUAACAUGUGGUUCUUGGAUAGGUCCCUUUUUGAACCCUUUUUUAUCUGAAUCCCAUAAAGAAGUAAACGAGCCUAGUUUUUUUAACUGGCAUGCUGUCUUAUUAAAUCAGGGGGAAAUUAUUGCCUGGAUAGGUGUUUUCUUUUGUGAAGUUAGUGGAUGUUGAUCAAGUCCCCUUUCCGCUGUAUGAAACGUUUCUCCUAUUGUACUUCUUAAAAAGCUUUCUGCUGAUGGCAGGAAGAAGAAGGUUGUUCAUAAGAAGAUGGCAGGAAGAAGCAGGUUGAUUCGAUUCGAUCCUCAAGAUGCUGGCCUUUCAUGUUUCUUCGCGAGCAUCAGGACAAAGAAGUUGGAAGAAGCAUAGUUCUAGCUCAUUGGAGCUAGUUCUGGGAGUAAUGAAGCACUUUAGGCUGAUCCUAUUUGUAUGUGUGUUAUAUGAUGUAGACUCUACACUUGUAGACUCAUGUGGUAGACUGUACACUUGUAGGGCUCAUGUGAUAAUCAUGUGGUAGACUGUACACUUGUAGAGCAGUUAUCCAAUUGUAAACUUGAUGCUGA